rnacentral:rRNA from 1 species
AGAGUUUGAUCAUGGCUCAGGACGAACGCUGGCGGCGUGCCCAAUACAUGCAAGUAGAACGCUGAAGACUGGUGCUUGCACUAGUCAGAUGAGUUGCGAACGGGUGAGUAACGCGUAGGUAACCUACCUUAUAGCGGGGGAUAACUAUUGGAAACGAUAGCUAAUACCGCAUGACAAUUAAGUACUCAUGUACUAAAUUUAAAAGGAGCAAUUGCUUCACUAUGAGAUGGACCUGCGUUGUAUUAGCUAGUUGGUGAGGUAACGGCUCACCAAGGCUACGAUACAUAGCCGACCUGAGAGGGUGAUCGGCCACACUGGGACUGAGACACGGCCCAGACUCCUACGGGAGGCAGCAGUAGGGAAUCUUCGGCAAUGGGGGCAACCCUGACCGAGCAACGCCGCGUGAGUGAAGAAGGUUUUCGGAUCGUAAAGCUCUGUUGUUAGAGAAGAACGGUAAUGGGAGUGGAAAAUCCAUUACGUGACGGUAACUAACCAGAAAGGGACGGCUAACUACGUGCCAGCAGCCGCGGUAAUACGUAGGUCCCGAGCGUUGUCCGGAUUUAUUGGGCGUAAAGCGAGCGCAGGCGGUUAUUUAAGUCUGAAGUUAAAGGCCGUGGCUCAACCAUGGUUCGCUUUGGAAACUGGAUAACUUGAGUGCAGAAGGGGAGAGUGGAAUUCCAUGUGUAGCGGUGAAAUGCGUAGAUAUAUGGAGGAACACCGGUGGCGAAAGCGGCUCUCUGGUCUGUAACUGACGCUGAGGCUCGAAAGCGUGGGGAGCAAACAGGAUUAGAUACCCUGGUAGUCCACGCCGUAAACGAUGAGUGCUAGGUGUUAGGCCCUUUCCGGGGCUUAGUGCCGCAGCU